GCGAUCCUAUUAUUAUUUCAUUUAUAAAUUUAAGAUUUUUUUGAAAUAAAAACACUUUGAAUCGGCUUGAACGUUGUUGCUUUAUUACAUAGAGCUUGGAGCGUGGACGUUGCUGCUUUAUUACACAAAACUUGGAGCGGGUGCGUUGGAGCCUAAUGCCAGCUAGGCUAGCCGUUGGGAGAUUCAUACACAUCUUACAGGAAGGAUUCAUACAAAGAUCUAUAAUUAGAGGCAAUCGGGAGAUUCAUACAUUCGUAGGCUCCAACUGAAGGAAAAAGGAGGGGCAAAUAAAAUCAGGGCAAGAGAGGGAAGAGGAUUUGUGGCAGGGAUUGGCAGUGGGACUGGGCACUCCAUUUGUAGUGUAACAUUGGGCAAAAGAGGGUUUGUGUUCUAAUUGUUGAUCCAAACAUGCAAUGAAAUUCUUGGUUCGUGGUUAAAGGACUUUACAGUGAGUUGUUUGCGAUCAAUCAGCUUCAAGUAGCUAUUUAUACAGCCAUUGGGGGAUUCAUACAUUUGAAGCCUCCAACUGAAGGAAAAAGAAGAGGCGAAUAAAAUCAGAGCAAGAUAGUGAGCUGGUUGUGAUCGAUCAGUGGCAAUUUAAAAAAAAAAGUUUGAACAAGUGAGAACUUGAACACACAAAAUUCAUUGGAGGAUUUUGUACAUGAAAGUGAGAACUUGAACAUGAAGACUUCAAAGAAGGGAUCAACUUAUGAUAUUGUUUAAUACUGGAAUGGAAGUACAAAAUAUGUAACAUUUCAUUUGAAUUGAUUAUUUUUAUUUAUUGUAAACAUUCCACAACAAUUAUAAUUAAUAAAGAUAUACCAUUUUUUUGA